GUGAAUCAUCGAAUUUUUGAACGCAAAUUGCACUCUCCGGUUUUCCGGGAGAGUAUGCCUGUUUGAGGGUCAGCCUAAAAAAAAUCGACAUUGUUGCUGUUAUUUAAUGGUGACUUUCGUCGGAGAUUGGGUUAUCUUAAACCUUUUUUUUUUUUUGGUUUAAGCGGCUUAAAAUUUUCUUUACGAUUCCACGAACGUUUCUAAGAUUUACUUACACAUUUAAGGUAUCGAUCUUUAUUAGACGUGGCCGUUGCAUCGGAUCGCGUCCAUAAAUAUUUCGUUAACUGACCUCAUACAGGUA
rnacentral:misc_RNA from 1 species